GCAGGAUGUUAUGGCUCAAACCUAUAGUCCCAGCUACUUGGGAGAGUAGGCCAGAGGAUUGCUUGAGCCCAGGAGUUCUGGGCUGCAGUGUGCCAUGCCAGUAGGGUAUCCACACUAAAUUUGGCGUCAGUAUGGUGACCUUCCUGGAGCAGGGUUGCCUAAAGUGGGCUGAACUGGCCCAGGAUGGAAAUGGACCAGGUCGAAAUUCCCGUGCUGAUGAGUAUUGGGAUCAUGUCACUGCACUGCAGCCUGGACAACCAUAGCAAGGAUCCAUCUCU
ensembl:misc_RNA Metazoa_SRP Metazoan signal recognition particle RNA